AAGAAUAUAUUCAAAGACAAGAACAGCAUGCAAGGGAAAUAGAAGAAUUAAGUCUUCGUCUAAGCGGAGAAAACCCAGUGAGUUCUUGGUGCAAUUGUGGAAACUGCAAUACUGAAAAUUUAGUAGAGGCGAAGGAGUGUCACUGUUGCACUGAAAUUCCAAACUGUGCCGCUGCAUUGACAUUGACUAUAGAUGAUUCUGUUCGUGUUUCUGAGUCAUCUGAUGAUGAUGCUACUAACACCCAACAAACGUGUAUUACAAAUCACCCUGGAUUCGAUGCAAUUUGUCUCAAUAGAUGGUCUUUGGAACUAGCUGCAGAUAAUUUUAAAACGCGUACUGGACAAAAAUAUCGACAAGUUAGUUCAAAGAAUAGGUUUCUUCGUGUGGUGGCAUAUAGACAAUUCACACGACUUAUUCAUGGGCGUUUAAAAGACAAGCGAAUCCCUUUGCCGGCUUGUGCUUACAAUGCUAUCCGCACUACCUUCAAGGAAAAGGAGGAUGACUUCAAAGGUUAUGAAGAUCUGGAGGAAGAGGAUUAAAUUUGCUGUAAAUAUAUAUGUAGGAAUUUAAUAGCAGAUACAUUAGCAAUGUUUUGUUAUAGCACCUCAAACUUGAAUAAUAAUAUAUUUUACAAUUAAACUCUGCCCUUUUACAAAAUUAUUUAUUUUGGUUCUUGGGGCAAUCUUUAACAUUUUUGUG